rnacentral:rRNA from 1 species
AGAGAGAGACAUGCGCGCAUAUCAAUAAGCGGAGGAAAAGAAACUAACAAGGACUUCCCCUAGUAACGGCGAGUGAAGCGGGAAGAGCUCAAAUUUGAAAUCUUAAAGGGUUUCCCUUUACGAAUUGUAGUUUAAAGAAGUGUUUUCUGUUGAGGUUUUGGUAAAAGUUCUUUGGAAUAGGACAUCAUAGAGGGUGAGAAUCCCGUAUUUGACCUUUACUUUCAACUUUGUGAUACACUUUCAAAGAGUCGGAUUGUUUGGGAAUGCAGUCCAAAAUGGGUGGUAAAUUUCAUCUAAAGCUAAAUAUUGGCGAGAGACCGAUAGCGAACAAGUACCGUGAGGGAAAGAUGAAAAGAACUUUGAAAAGAGAGUUAAACAGUACGUGAAAUUGUCAAAAGGGAAGCGUUUGACACCAGUGUUGUUUUUCUGAAAAUCAAUUAAAGAACUGUUUAUGCUAAGCUGUUUAGACUUUAUCAGCUAACUGUUUAGUUUUGAGCUUUUCUUUAAUGCACUUUUCAGUUAACAAGUCAACAUCAAUUUCUUUUGCUGUAAAAAAGCUUGAGGAAGGUGGCUUGAGAUUCGUCUUAAGUGUUUAUAGCCUCUUGCCUAUGCAGUCGGAGAGAUUGAGGUCUGCAGCGUAGAUCCUUCGGGGCUAAAUGCAUUUGUGCUAAGUUAUAGCAUUUUAUAGACAACUUGUUGACUAUGAUUUGUCUUGUAGCUUACUCGCUUAUGUUAUUUUACCUACGCUUAGGAUGUUGAGCGCAUGUCUCUCUCU